AACGCAUAUUGCGCCCUUUGGUAUUCCGAAGGGCAUGCCUGUUCGAGCGUCAUUAUCAACCAUCAAGCCUGGCUUGUCGUUGGACCCUUUUUACCGCUGAAAUAUGUGGUAGGUCCGAAAGAUAAUGACGGUGUCGUGUUUGACCCUAGAUGCAACGAGCUUUUUAUAGCAUGCAUUGAAGUGGUCGGCCGACCCGGUCUUUAACCAUCAUUUUCUAAGGUUGACCUCGGAUCAGGUAGGAAUACCCGCUGAACUUAA
rnacentral:misc_RNA from 1 species